AAGCUGCAGGAUAUCGUGUUCGUUGAGCGCAGAGGAAACAGCAGGUGUGUCCGCAGGCUUUUGGAGGUGUCUGUACUUGCAGCUUGUGCAAUACAUGAAAAUCACCACACUGGCUGUUGUUCACUGGCUGAGGAUGCCCCCAUUAGACGCAGGGCAGACGGUCAGCGGUGGUGGGACUAAGCACUGAUGACAAGCUCCUGGAAAGGCUGCAGUUGAGGAGAAUGAGCAGAGCCUGCACAGGGACCGGCCCGAGCCUCAGACAU